AAUACAUGCAGUCGAGCGGGGAUUAUGCCUGAUCGCUUCGGUGAGACGGCAUAUAUCCUAGCGGCGGACGGGUGAGUAACGCGUGGGUAAUCUACCUCGUAGUUCGGGAUAACAGGCCGAAAGGCUUGCUAAUACCGGAUGAGUUCAUGCUUAUGCAUAUAGGCAUGAAGAAAGGGCUAGCCCGCUAUGAGAUGAGCCCGCGUUCCAUUAGCUUGUUGGUGGGGUAACGGCCUACCAAGGCUACGAUGGGUAGCCGGCCUGAGAGGGUGUACGGCCACACUGGGACUGAGACACGGCCCAGACUCCUACGGGGGGCAGCAGUAGGGAAUUUUCGGCAAUGGGCGAAAGCCUGACCGAGCGACGCCGCGUGAGGGACGAAGGCCUUCGGGUUGUAAACCUCUGUCUGGGGGGAUGAGAACGGACGGUA
rnacentral:rRNA from 1 species